rnacentral:sRNA from 1 species
AUAACAACAACAUUUCAUGAACAGUUUCCACCGCGGGGACACGGACCUUCCGCCUGGCUCUACCACCGUGCAAUAUGGUU